AGCGAACGCUGGCGGCAGGCUUAACACAUGCAAGUCGAGCGGGCGUAGCAAUACGUCAGCGGCAGACGGGUGAGUAACGCGUGGGAACGUACCUUUUGGUUCGGAACAACACAGGGAAACUUGUGCUAAUACCGGAUAAGCCCUUACGGGGAAAGAUUUAUCGCCGAAAGAUCGGCCCGCGUCUGAUUAGCUAGUUGGUAGGGUAAUGGCCUACCAAGGCGACGAUCAGUAGCUGGUCUGAGAGGAUGAUCAGCCACAUUGGGACUGGGACACGGCCCAAACUCCUACGGGAGGCAGCAGUGGUGAAUAUUGGACAAUGGGGGGAACCCUGAUCCAGCCAUGCCGCGUGAGUGAUGAAGGCCCUAGGGUUGUAAAGCUCUUUUGUGCGGGAAGAUAAUGACGGUACCGCAAGAAUAAGCCCCGGCUAACUUCGUGCCAGCCGCCGCCGUAA
rnacentral:rRNA from 1 species